rnacentral:lncRNA from 1 species
CAAACUGGUGCAGCCACUGUGGAAAACGUUAUAGAGAUUGCUCAAAAAAUUAAGAAUAGAACUACUGUGUGAUCCAGCUAUUCCACUACUGGGUAUUUAUCCAAAAACCAUGAAAACAUGAAUGCAUAAAGAUAGAUUCACCCCUGUGUUCAUUGCAGCAUUAUUCACAAUAGCCAAGACUUGGAAACAACCUAAGUGCCCAUCAAGGGACAGAUGGAUAAAGAAGAUGUGGCUUUGCUUCUGGAGUUGAAGGGGCGCAGCACCUGCCCGUUUACCACCCUAGAGCUCGUUGAUUGCAAGAUGGAUCCGUGGUCUCUCGGGAGACUUGGGGAGGCUCUGCAGUUCAGCAGUUUGCACUCUCUUGUCCUGGAUUACUGCAACUUUGGAAUUGAAGAAAUUGAGCGUAUUUUCUCAGGCCUGGAGAACAACCAAAGGCUCCAAGGCCUCAGCCUGCGUUACUGUGGUCCGGGGCCACGGAGCGGGCCGGCGCUGGGCUCGGUCGUAAGCCAGAGUGCUGUCCGUGAGCUGCACCUCGACGGCAAUUACUUGCAAUGUUCUGGAGCUCUGGCUCUGCUCAGACCCCUAGCAGAGUAUGCAGAGAUGCAGGGCAAAGGCUGGCCCACCACAUCCUCACCAGACGCCAGGAAUCCCCCUCAGCUGCUCGGAGUCAGCCACAGAGCAAGUUCAACUUUGAACCCGAUUACAAAGUCAUCUGGAGCUGUAACAGUGAAAACUACUUCAGGGAAGAAUAAGAGAAAGAAAGGAAUCAAGAAAAAAGUUAAAGGUUUGACUGAAGCUGGUCCUUGGUUAGUGAAAUUGCAUUUGGCAGAUAAUGGCAUAGAUGGAAAAGGAAACGAAGGAGAAAAAGGCUUCUUGGAAUUCACUCAGAUUUUAACAUGCCUGAUCAAAUACUCUGCCCACUUAAGGGAAAUUGACCUUGGAAACAACGGCCUGGGAGAAAGGGCUGCUGCUGACAUACUUGAAGCACUGCGAGCCAGAAAGGCAGGUAAACUGCCAGUCUUAAAACUUACAGUCACUCCUCAGAUCUCCUCAGACACCUUCCGAUCUAUUUGGAAAAAUAGCAAGAAAUCUUAUAUUACCCGUAAAAAGAAGAAAAAGGUUAAAAACUGACUAUGGAUGCCAUCUAUUUCUAUGGCCAACCAGAUAUGCCUAGAAAGAUAUUGCUUGUUCUAUAAUAAUAUUUUUCACUGUAACCAAGCCCCUUUCAAGUUCUAAAAUUUGACAAAACAAUUUUAUGAAAAUUCAAAGAAGUGUUAAUCCUAUCGUGCUUGUCAACUUCUAAAAUGUGAAUUUCACAAGUAGGCCUUAGAGAAAAUGGGUGGGAUUCUCUUCUGGAGCUUCUUCUCUUAUACAUGUGAAAUUUAUGAUUUGAAGGAAGUCAUGUUCUUUAUCUAAGACAGAAAGAAUCUUCUUUCAUAAAUAUAUCUAUAGUUGGGAACAAUAGUAAUUUUUGGAAAUAAUAACCACUUUAUAAAAGACAACAUCCCUCCAAAUGGGCAUCUCCUCCAAAUAAGGAAACUUCUGAUCACCAUACCCCCCAUGAAGAUGUCAGACAGAAAUGGAGGAAGUGUGGUUGAUGUAUGUAUGGAUGAUAAAUUGGAUUAGUUGAAUUUUAUAUGCCAGGACAAUAUGGUGCAGGAAUGAAAAGCAUGGACUGGGGAGUUAGAUGAACAAGAAUUCUUUGUGGAAACCAGCUGCUUUCCAAGUAUGUGACUUUGGGCAAGUCAAUUAACCUCAUUGUGCCUCAGUUUCCCUUUAUAUAAGAUACAGAUAAUAAUAGCAUCUAUCUCAUUUGGUUAGCAUUGAAUGAGAGGACACAUGGCAAGCAUUUUAGGUCAAUACUUGUUUCAUAGUACAUGCUCACAAAUAAAUAUUAGUGGCUCUGAUUAUUGCUGUUAUUAUUGUUGAUGUUAGAAUUGAGUGAUUCCAGUUAUUUCUCUUAGGACAGCUACACAAGAAAAAUAGAAAAGAAAAAAAGAUGAAGACUUAGGACCUCUGUAUUUUGAAGUAAAGAAAAAAAAGUCAUUCAUUCUAUGUACAAAUGUAACAAGCACUGGCAAGUUCAUGAAACCAAACUAACUGUGGGGAUGGGUAUAGUAAAUUAUGUCUCCUCUUGAGGAUCUUAGCAUCUAGCUAGGAAGACAAGAUCCUCACACAUUAAAAGUAAACAAUAAUAGAGCAUAAGAGUUGAAAUAAUAUGUCAUUAUCGAGGGUAACAAAGGCUAUAGAGUAGUGAGAUCAAUUUAGCAAAUCUCCAGAAUUUAAAUAUCCAAUGUGUGAGGCCUCCUGAGAAAUUAUUCCUGAUUUAAAAAAAAAAAUUUGGAAAAAAAAUGGAAAUUUGCCACUGACAUCCACUGGGUGAGAGUUUAAAAUCUGUUUCUCUUUAGGGGUCUUUUGGCCGUGUCUAUCAAAAUGAAAAAUACAUAGCUUUUGACCCAGAUAUUCUACUUCUAGAAAUUUAUUUUACAGAUACACUCUCACACUGUGCAAAGAAAUAUACAUGAGGAUAUUCACUGAGGCACUGUUUAUUAUACACUGGAAACAACUAAAUGUUCUCAGAGGAUUCUCAGGGAAAUAAAUCACAGGAAAUAUAUGUGGUGGAAUACUAUGCAGCCAUCAAGAGGAAUAAUGUAGAUAUAUAAAUGCUUAUACAGAAAGACAAAGUAAUACUGUUAAACAAAAAGAGCAGUCUAGAGAAUAGUAUAUGUGAAAAACUCAUAUUAAAAGUGAAGUGAUGUAAUAUGAGCCAGCAAUUUCACUUCUGAGUAUACACACAAAAGAAUUGAAAGCGGGAUCUUGAAGAGCUAUUUGUAUAUCUAUGUUCAUAGCAGCAUUAUGCACAAUAGUCAAAGGUGGAAGCAACCCAAAUGAAUGGAUAAACAAAAUAUGGUCUAUACAUACAAUGGAAUAUUAUUCAGCUUUAAAAAGGAAGGAAAUUCUGACACAUGCUACAACAUGGAUGAACCUUCAGGACAUCAUGCUAAGUGAAAUAAACCAGUCACAAAAAGACAAAUACUGUUUGAUUCCACUUAUAUGAGAUAUUGAGAAUAGUCAAACUCAGAAACAGAAAGUAGGAUGGUGGAUGCCAGGGGAAGAGGAGAGGGAAAUGGAGAGUUGUUUAAAGGGUAUAGAGUUUCAGUUUUGGAAGACGAAAAAGUUCUGGAGAUUGGUUGUGUUAACAAUGUGAAUGUACUUAAUACUAUUGAACUGUACACUUAAAAAUGGCUAGGAUGGCAAACUUCAUGUUAUGUGUAUUUUACCAAAAUUAAAAAUUUUUUUAAUGAGCUG